rnacentral:lncRNA from 1 species
GAUAGAUAUGUGGAUAGCGAGUCAUGGCAUAGUAUGUGAGACCUCAGAUAGUCAUAUAUAUAUGAUAUAAUAAGGCUAAACUCUUAAUACGGCUUAAGUAUUUUGGGCCGUGGUUAGGCCCAAGAGGUUAAGAGAGUUAAGUGUGCUUGGACAGGAGUAGUUUUCGGAUGAAUAACCGCCUGAAAAGUCGGGGCGUCACAGUUAUUAUCAGAGCCAAUUACCAGCCGAAAGUGUGAUAUGAGUCUCGGCUAAGCCAAGAUUGUACAGCAAGGAAAGCGAGGUUCUCAUACUAUUGAUCGUUGUGGGUGGAGCGCGGCUCACUAUAAUGUCAAUUUAGGUUAGAAAGACGAAUCUCACAUCAUCUGAUACUUGUGAGUAUAAGCCUAACGAGGACGUCAGGGCUUAAAGGUCGGGGGCCGAAGUAGUCCUAUAUAUAUAUAUAUAUAUAUAUAUAUAUAUGAUAUAAUAAGGUUAAACUCUUAACCUGGCUUAAGCAUUUUGAGCGGUGACUAGACCAAAGAGGUUAAGAGAGUUAAGAGUGCUUGGACGGAGUAGUCCUCGGAUGGGUGGCUCGGUGGGAAGUCCAGGCGUCAUAUAGUAAAAUGUCGAUGUGGUGCAUUAAUACGUUGUUUGGACCGACUGUCCCUAGUGCAAGUGGCAAAGGGCUUGGUGGUUGGUACUCGAGGUUCCAAAUUCGAAUCCUAGUUGAUUCACAUUUCUAGUUAAGUUUUUAUCUAAAUAAAAUAAACGAAGCGGAUAGCAUACUACCUAUCUCUCAAAAAAAAAAAAAACGUUGUUUGGUCGCAUAUAGUUGCAACUGUUGUACAGUUGUAACUAUAUGCAAAUCUAAAUCAGUGUUUAGUUUUAAUCCAACUAUUGUAGUUGGAAUUGCACUCAAAUUGACCACAGUUUCAACUAUAGUAGUUUGAGAGAAUGACUUUAAACAAGAUAUAAAUUUACCUCCCUAACCACUUUGUAAAUGGAAUUUUUUUUUCCACAUUGGAGAUAAUCUUAUCUGAAUCUGAAUUCGAAGGAGUGUUUAUCUGAUGCUAAAUGAUUAUUGUUUUAGAUAUGAAUAUAAAAAAAUGAAAACUCAACAAAUUCGAAUUCGCAAAUAAAUUUUGUCUAUACUCCAUUCGAAUAUGUAUUUUGAAAUUUUAAAUUUUAAUAUAAAUUUUGGAAAUAUGGUAAAAAAAAUGAUUGUUUCAGAUUCAAAUUUUUGGAUGGGUUUGGUUUUGGAUAUGAAUUUUUAAAACCCAUCAAAUUUGGGUUCGGAUUCGGAUUUG